rnacentral:rRNA from 1 species
AUACGUAGGUGACAAGCGUUAUCCGGAUUUACUGGGCGUAAAGGGCGUGUAGGCGGUCUUGCAAGUCAGAAGUGAAAUUCCUGAGCUCAACUCGGGCGCUGCUUCUGAAACUGCAGGACUUGAGUGCUGGAGGGGAUAGCGGAAUUCCUAGUGGAGCGGUAAAAUGCGCAGAUAUUAGGAAGAACACCGGUGGCGAAGGCGGCUAUCUGGACAUUAACUGGAUCUGAGGCGCGAAAGCGUGGGGAGCAAACAGGGUUAGAUGCCCUGGUAGCCCACGCCGUAAACGAUGAAUACUAGGUGUAGGGGGUAUCGACUCCCUCUGUGCCGCAGUUAACAUAAUAAGUAUUCAGCCUGGGGAGUACGGCCGCAAGGUUGAAACUCAAAUGAAUUGACGGGG